rnacentral:ncRNA from 1 species
UGUUUAGUAAUUUCAACCAGUCAGUUCACAGGCAUUUGUCGAGUACUUAUUUGUGUGGAGCUGGCAUUAGGAAUUAUGGGAGAAAACAAUAAGGAAAUGCUAUUUAUGCUUUAGGGAAAACAAUAGUUUAUAUUUCCCCCGCCCCCCCCGCAAUAUUUCACUUUCGACUAAAAUAGUACAGUCAGAGGAGUUUUUGUAUAGGUGGGCGUGUGUAUAUAUAUGUGUGUGUGUAUGUGUGUGUAUGUGUAUGUGUAUGUGUGCGUAUGUGUAUGUGUAUGUGUGUGCGUAUGUGUAUGUGUGCGUAUGUGUAUGUGUUGCGUGUGUGUGUGCGUGUGUGUUUAAAACAACAACAAGUACAAAUAUAUUUAUAAAAGUUUUCUACCACUAAACCCCCCUACCCCCCUUACUAAAUUUUAUCGCUUCCGUCAAACCCCAAAACCGGAUGAUAGUCCUCUAGUAUGGUAACUAAAUACCUCGGAGAAAUAGGCUUUAAAAACACACAAGUAACAACUAGGCCUAACUAAAUCUAACCCGCCACUACUCAUUGUCAAACUUCUACUUAUAUAAAUUCUUCAACAAUACCUCCCAAUAUUCUAUAAAUCACACAUACAACCGUUUUCUAUUCCAAAUUUUAAUUUUAUAAAAAAAAAAACGAAAAAAACCUAAAAUAAAUUUAAUACUGACAUAGUAUACAAACUUAAAAUUUUCAAAAAUUUCUGAUAAAUUUUAAAAUUCAUAACUCACUGUUUGUGUAGCUUAACGCAAAGCAAAGCACUGAAAAUGCUUAGAUGGACUUUAAUCAGUUCCACAAGCACAGAGGCUUGGUCCUGGCCUUACUGUUAAUUUUUAUUAGACCUACACAUGCAAGUUUCCGCAACCCAGUGAGUAUGCCCUUUUAAUUCCAUUAAAGUAUAAAGGAGCUGGUAUCAGGCACACUAAAACAGCAGCCCAUGACACCUUGUUUAACCACACCCCCACGGGUUACAGCAGUGACUAAUAUUGAGCUAUAAACGAAAGUUUGACUAAAUCAUAAUAAAUAAGGGUUGGUAAAUCUCGUGCCAGCCACCGCGGUCAUACGAUUAACCCAAAUUAACAGAAACACGGCGUAAAGGGUGUUUAAGCACGCAACCAAACAAAUAAAGCUAAAAUUCAAUUAUGCUGUAAUACGCCCUAGUUGAUACUAAAAUACACAACUUACGUGACUUUACUAAUGCUGAAGACACUAAAGCUAAGGUACAAACUGGGAUUAGAGACCCCACUAUGCUUGGCCGUAAACCUAGGUAAUUAAAUAACAAAAUUACUCGCCAGAGAACUACUAGCAACCGCUUAAAACUCAAAGGACUUGGCGGUGCCCUAGACCCUCCUAGAGGAGCCUGUUCUAUAAUCGAUAAACCCCGAUAUACCUCACCCCUUCUCGCUCAACAGUCUAUAUACCGCCAUCGUCAGCUCACCCCAAUAGGGGCCCAAAGUGAGCAAAAUCAUCAAAUCAUAAAAACGUUAGGUCAAGGUGUAACAUAUGAAGGGGGAAGUAAUGGGCUACAUUUUCUAUACUAGAGCAUAACGAAUUGUCAACUGAAAUAAAGACAUGAAGGAGGAUUUAGUAGUAAAUUAAGAAUAGAGAGCUUAAUUGAAAUAGGCAAUAGGGUGCGUACACACCGCCCGUCACCCUCCUCAAUAAAGUAACUUUUAAUACCUAAUUACAAUACACCAAAAAGAGGAGAAAAGUCGUAACAUGGUAAGUGUACUGGAAAGUGUACUUGGACAACCAAAAUGUAGCUUAACUAAAGCAUUUAGCUUACACCUAAAAGAUUUCAGCUAAUCCUGACCAUUUUGAGCUAGACCUAGUCCUACAAACAACAUUUAAACUAUUUAUUACACCCACAAAACAUUUAUCAGCCCUAGUAUAGGCGAUAGAACAGACAAAUAUAUAGGCACAAUAGAGAGAGUACCGUGAGGGAACGUUGAAAGACUUCAUCCUACAAGCAAUAAAAAGCAAAGUUUUCACCUUUUACCUUUUGCAUAAUGAUUUAGCUAGUCAAACCGGACAAAACGAAUUGAAGCCCGCCUCCCCGAAAUUAAGUGAGCUAUUGUAGAACAGUUGACAGAACGAACUCGUCUGUGUAGCAAAACAGUGAGAUGAUUUUACAAUAGAGGUGAAAAGCCUAUCGAACUUAAUGAUAGCUGGUUGUCCAAAAAAUGAAUUUAAGUUCAACUUUAAAUUUAAUUCAAGUACCCAUAAACAUCAUUUAAAUUUAAAUGUUACUCAAAAGAGGGACAACUCUUUUGAUAUGUAGACAAACUUUCAUAGAGGAUAAUGAAAUCAACACAAAACAUUGUAGGCCUAAAAGCAGCCAUCAAUUAAGAAAGCGUUAAAGCUCAAACUUAUCCAAUACUUAAUUCCCAUAUUUAAUCAAAAUCCCUUAUUUUAUAUUGGACAAUUCUAUUCUUAUUUAGAAGAUAUAAUGCUAAUAUGAGUAACCUGAAUGUAUUCUCCUUGCACAAGCAUAUAUACGACCGGAACAACCGCUUACACUUAACCAAACAAAUAAUCAUAACUACAUACUAGUACCUUAUUAUAUACUUUGUUAACCCAACCCAGGUGUGCAUAUAAAGGAAAGAUUAAAAGGAGUAAAAGGAACUCGGCAAAUACGAACCCCGCCUGUUUACCAAAAACAUCACCUCUAGCACUUACCAGUAUUAGAGGCAUUGCCUGCCCAGUGAGUCACGACUUUAACGGCCGCGGUAUCCUGACCGUGCAAAGGUAGCAUAAUCACUUGUCUCUUAAUUGGGGACUAGUAUGAAUGGCACCACGAGGGUUCAACUGUCUCUUACUCCCAAUCAGUGAAAUUGACCUUCCCGUGCAGAGGCGGGGAUAAUUAUACAAGACGAGAAGACCCUGUGGAGCUUAAGUCGUAUAACUCAACAAAUACUAAUAUUUAACCUAUUGGAAUAACAUGUAUAAUCUAUGAGUUAUAGUCUUUGGUUGGGGUGACCUCGGAGCAUAAAAGAACCUCCGAAUGAAUAAAACCAAGAUUAACAAAUCUAAGUGUAAUAUUACCAGUAAUUGACCCAUAUUUUGAUCAACGGAACAAGUUACCCCAGGGAUAACAGCGCAAUCCUAUUUGAGAGCCCAUAUCGAAAACAGGGUUUACGACCUCGAUGUUGGAUCAGGACAUCCAAAUGGUGCAACCGCUAUUAAAGGUUCGUUUGUUCAACGAUUAAAGUCCUACGUGAUCUGAGUUCAGACCGGAGAAAUCCAGGUCGGUUUCUAUCUGUAAAUUCAUUUCUCCCAGUACGAAAGGACAAGAGAAAUAGGGCCAAUAUCCAUAAUAAGCCCUAGAAUUAAUAUAUGAAUUUAUCUAAAUAUACUAAAUCAACCCAUAUACCCCCAAGAACAGGGCUAUUAAGAUGGCAGAGCCGGUAAUUGCAUAAAGCUUAAGCCUUUACUCCCAGAGGU